rnacentral:rRNA from 1 species
UUAGAGUUUGAUGCCUGGCUCAGGACGAACGCUGGCGGUGCGCCUUAUGCAUGCAAGUUGAGCGAAGCUUUUUGGUAGUUUACUACUAGAAAUGACUGAGCGGCGAACGGGUGAGUAACGCGUGAGCAAUCUACCUUAGUUACUGGGAUAGCCCGAGGAAACUCGGAUUAAUACCAGAUAUUCUUAUUUUUUCACAUGAAGUUUUAAGGAAAGGUCAGCCGAACUAAGAUGAGCUCGCGUUCUAUCAGCUAGUUGGUGGGGUAAAAGCCUACCAAGGCAACGACGGAUAGCUGGUCUGAGAGGACGAUCAGCCACACUGGGACUGAGACACGGCCCAGACUCCUACGGGAGGCUGCAGCAGGGAAUAUUGUGCAAUGAGCGAAAGCUUGACACAGCGACACCGCGUGUGGGAUGACGGUUCUAGGAUUGUAAACCACUUUCAGGAGGGAAGAAAAUGACGGUACCUCCACAAGAAGACCCGGCCAACUAUGUGCCAGCAGCCGCGGUAAUACAUAGGGGUCAAGCGUUGUCCGGAUUUAUUGGGCGUAAAGAGCUCGUAGGCGGUUCAACAAGUCGGUCGUAAAAGUUUAGGGCUCAACCCUAAAAUGUCGAUCGAUACUGUUGUGACUAGGAUACGGUAGAGGUGAAUGGAAUUCCGAGUGUAGCGGUGAAAUGCGUAGAUAUUCGGAGGAACACCAAUUGCGAAGGCAGUUCACUGGACCGUGAUCGACGCUGAGGAGCGAAAGCUAGGGGAGCAAACAGGAUUAGAUACCCUGGUAGUCCUAGCUGUAAACGAUGGAUACUAGAUGUAGGAACUGGAUUGACGGUUUCUGUAUCGUAGCUAACGCGUUAAGUAUCCCGCCUGGGGAGUACGGUCGCAAGACUAAAACUCAAAGGAAUUGACGGGACCCCGCACAAGCGGCGGAGCAUGCGGCUUAAUUCGAUGAUACCCGUAGAACCUUACCUGGACUUGACAUAUAGGGAAAAACUGGAGAAAUCCAGUGUGCGUAAGCGCCCUUUACAGGUGGUGCAUGGCUGUCGUCAGCUCGUGUCGUGAGAUGUUGGGUUAAGUCCCGCAACGAGCGCAACCCCUGUCCUAUGUUGCCAGCAAGUAAUGUUGGGGACUCAUAGGAGACUGCCGGUGAUAAACCGGAGGAAGGUGGGGAUGACGUCAAGUCAUCAUGCCCCUUAUGUCCAGGGCUGCACGCAUGCUACAAUGGCAAGUACAACGAGUCGCAAUACCGCGAGGUGGAGCAAAUCUCUUAAAGCUUGUCUCAGUUCGGAUAGGAGUCUGCAACUCGACUCCUUGAAGUUGGAGUCGCUAGUAAUCGCAAAUCAGCAAAGUUGCGGUGAAUACGUUCUCGGGGUUUGUACACACCGCCCGUCAAGGG